CACCAUUGCACACCAGCCUGGCCAACAGAGUGAGAACUUGUCUCAAAAAAAGAAAAGAAAAUGUAUCCAGGAGGCUAAAUAAUGGCUCCCAAAGAUGUGUCUACAUCCUAAUCUCCAGAAUCUGUGAAUGUUACUUUAUGUGGCAAGUACGUGGCAGAUGUAAUUAAGUCAAGGAUCUUUGGAUGGUUAUCCUGAAUUAUCUGGGUGGGCCCUAAAUACAAUCACAAGUGUCCUUAUAGGAGAGAGGCUGAAGGAGAUUUGGUACCAACAGAAGAGGAGGAGGAAAUUGUGAUCAUGCAGAAACUGGAGUGAUGGAGUCACAAGCCAAGGAAUGCCAGCAGCCACCAGAAGCCGAAAGAGGCCCUGCCAACACCUUGAUUUAGGCCUAAUGAAACUGAGUUUAGAUUUCUGGACCCCAGAACUGUGAAAGAAUAAAUUUCUGUUGUGUUAAGCCCCU
rnacentral:lncRNA from 1 species